AGAGUUUGAUCCUGGCUCAGAAUCAACGCUGGCGGCGCGCUUAACACAUGCAAGUCGCACGAGAAAGCAGGAGCAAUCUUGUGAGUAAAGUGGCGUACGGGUGAGUAACACGUGGAUCAUCUACCUUCUAGUGGGGAAUACCCCUGGGAAACCGGGGACAAUACCGCAUAAGCUCGAGAGAGGAAAGCCGAAAGGCGCUGGAAGAGGAGUCCGCGGCUGAUUAGCUAGUUGGCGGGGUAAUGGCCCACCAAGGCGAAGAUCGGUAGCCGGCCUGAGAGGGCUCACGGCCACACUGGCACUGAAACACGGGCCAGACUCCUACGGGAGGCAGCAGUGGGGAAUCUUGCACAAUGGAGGAAACUCUGAUGCAGCGACGCCGCGUGAGCGAUGAAGCCCUUCGGGGUGUAAAGCUCUUUCGACGGGAACGAUAAUGACGGUACCCGAAGAAGAAGCUGCGGCUAACUACGUGCCAGCAGCCGCGGUAAUACGUAGGCAGCGAGCGUUGUUCGGAAUUACUGGGCGUAAAGAGUGCGUAGGCGGUGCUCUAAGUCUGGUGUGAAAUCUCCCGGCUCAACUGGGAGGGUGCGCCGGAAACUGGAGUGCUUGAGUGUGGGAGAGGUAAGCGGAAUUCCUGGUGUAGCGGUGAAAUGCGUAGAUAUCAGGAGGAACACCUGUGGUGUAGACAGCUUACUGGACCACGACUGACGCUGAGGCACGAAAGCGUGGGUAGCAAACAGGAUUAGAUACCCUAGUAGUCC
rnacentral:rRNA from 1 species